rnacentral:rRNA from 1 species
UGCAAGUCGAACGGCAGCGAGGAGAAGCUUGCUUCUCUGUCGGCGAGUGGCGAACGGGUGAGUAUAGCAUCGGAACGUGCCAAGUAGUGGGGGAUAACCAAACGAAAGUUUGGCUAAUACCGCGUAAGCUCUAAGGAGGAAAGUAGGGGACCUAAAUAAGGCCUUACGCUAUUUGAUCGGCCGAUGUCGGAUUAGCUAGUUGGUGGGGUAAUGGCUCACCAAGGCAAUGAUCCGUAGCGGGUCUGAGAGGACGAUCCGCCACACUGGGACUGAGACACGGCCCAGACUCCUACGGGAGGCAGCAGUGGGGAAUUUUGGACAAUGGGGGAAACCCUGAUCCAGCCAUGCCGCGUGUAUGAAGAAGGCCUUAGGGUUGUAAAGUACUUUUGUUAGGGAAGAAAAGCUAGUUUUUAAUAAAAAUUAGUGAUGACGGUACCUAAAGAAUAAGCACCGGCUAACUACGUGCCAGCAGCCGCGGUAAUACGUAGGGUGCAAGCGUUAAUCGGAAUUAUUGGGCGUAAAGCGAGUGCAGACGGUUACUUAAGCCAGAUGUGAAAUCCCCAAGCUUAACUUGGGACGUGCAUUUGGAACUGGGUGACUAGAGUGUGUCAGAGGGAGGUAGAAUUCCACAUGUAGCGGUGGAAUGCGUAGAGAUGUGGAGGAAUACCGAUGGCGAAGGCAGCCUCCUGGGAUAACACUGACGUUGAGGCUCGAAAGCGUGGGGAGCAAACAGGAUUAGAUACCCUGGUAGUCCACGCCCUAAACGAUGACAAUUAGCUGUUGGGCUUUGAAAGGCUUAGUAGCGAAGCUACGCGAGAAAUUGUCCGCCUGGGGAGUACGGUCGCAAGAUUAAAACUCAA